rnacentral:rRNA from 1 species
UCUGGUGGCUAUAGCAAGGAGGUCACACCUGUUCCCAUGCCGAACACAGAAGUUAAGCUCCUUAGCGUCGAUGG